UAGUGGGGGAUAACGUUCGGAAACGGACGCUAAUACCGCAUACGUCCUACGGGAGAAAGCAGGGGACCUUCGGGCCUUGCGCUAUCAGAUGAGCCUAGGUCGGAUUAGCUAGUUGGUGAGGUAAUGGCUCACCAAGGCUACGAUCCGUAACUGGUCUGAGAGGAUGAUCAGUCACACUGGAACUGAGACACGGUCCAGACUCCUACGGGAGGCAGCAGUGGGGAAUAUUGGACAAUGGGCGAAAGCCUGAUCCAGCCAUGCCGCGUGUGUGAAGAAGGUCUUCGGAUUGUAAAGCACUUUAAGUUGGGAGGAAGGGCAUUAACCUAAUACGUUAGUGUUUUGACGUUACCGACAGAAUAAGCACCGGCUAACUCUGUGCCAGCAGCCGCGGUAAUACAGAGGGUGCAAGCGUUAAUCGGAAUUACUGGGCGUAAAGCGCGCGUAGGUGGUUUGUUAAGUUGAAUGUGAAAUCCCCGGGCUCAACCUGGGAACUGCAUCCAAAACUGGCAAGCUAGAGUAUGGUAGAGGGUAGUGGAAUUUCCUGUGUAGCGGUGAAAUGCGUAGAUAUAGGAAGGAACACCAGUGGCGAAGGCGACUACC
rnacentral:rRNA from 1 species